AUAUCCAGAAGUGGAAACAUAAAUCUGCCUUACAGCAUUCUGCUAACAGAUCAAACAAGUUAGCAUGUGAAGUUUUUUUGUUUUUUUUUUGGCUCGGAUAAUUACAAAAGGUGGGCCUUUGGCCAAACAUCCCGAUUUGGUCACAAUACAAGCCCAGAGGCAACAAGGGCCGAGCCCAACACGUUAGAAUUGAACAAAUAACCAUAACAACCGAAUGGUUGGCCGUUAAUUUAGGUUAUUAGUUCUCCAUUCGGGUGAACAAGAUGCGAUUCCGGUGGAAGACCGGCGAUUCCUUAGUCUGGAGGUGUUGGCUGCGGACGGCAAGAAGAAGGAGACAGGUUCCAUUCGUGUAGGAUUCUUCUUGAGGUGGAGCAAUCCUUGAGGAAACUCAAUUUCAGAAUUGAAGUAAUGGUGGAACAGAUUCGGUUAAGCACAGCCCUCUGUGAACACUUCUUCCCCUUUGAAGAUCCGGUCGUUUCUCUCUUCCCGUGUGUGAUACACCAUUGAAGAAAGACAGACUUUGCGGAGUAAGUUGGAAACAGAAUUUGAUUUCCAUCUUAAGCUGGACCAUGUGAUUAGGUUUCCCCAAUUUGUGAUAGAGUUGCAAAAGUGACCUUUAUCUUUGAUAAAAUUCCAGAUGGGGGAGACAAAGCAACAGUUAAAGAACAAAUGCUCAUGUGAUUCUUGAUGGGAGUGGCAAAGAGCACAAAGGUUUACAUAUGGAGACAUCUAUCCAAAGUUGGAAGCCUGGAUUAAACUGCAAGCCAAAAAUUAAACUUCAUGCAUGGAAUUGUAGGGUAUGGAGGAGGCAGCAAUCUCAGCUCAGGGGAUUGAGGAUGUUAGAACUGGUGGAAAGAACCAGAUAGAGUUUGCAAUGAAAAACUGGACUCUGGUGUCAAAAUUGCAUCCUGCUUCAUCAAGCAGUGCAUUUGGAAAUCUAGUGCAGAGAGGACCACCUGGAGCCCAAUUGUCCCACCAAAAUGAGGUUCCAUUGCCAUCUCCAAUGAUGUGCUUGAUGAGUAGUCUAGCUGGGUGCCUGAGUUGAAGAAUCUUUCUCCAGCUCCAAGAACAUUGAUGAGGAAUGCUCAAAGUCCACAAAUUCCUGCACUUAAUCAGGUGAGUAUUGCACCACCUGAUCCAUAGUCUGCUUAAGUUAUUUGUUUGUAGUUCCCAUAUGAAUCUCAAAAUUCCUGCUUUGUUAGCUAAUUCCAGGUUAGGAAUACAUACCUAGACCACUUGACUCUUUGGACCUGCAAACUUUGCUCCAAGCAACUUUGGCUCCUGAAGUCUUCAUUUCCGGACCAGACCAAAGAAAGGAUCUAAAAUUGGCAUUUAGCUCAUUGAUAACUGAUUUUGGCAGUGUGAAAAUGUUGGACUAGUAAAUUUAGGUUGAAACAAGAAUUGCUUUGAUGAGUUGAAGCCUCCCUGCAUAAGACAAUGACCUUGAUGACCAAUGUGAGACUCUGAAUUAUCUUCUUAAUCAAAAGGUUGCAAUGUAUGGAUUUUAAGUUGGUGGAGAUCAAUGGGACCCCAAGAUACUUUACUGGUAGAGUUGUCAACCCAAUACCAAGUAAACAUGUAAUAGCAUCUUCAGUUUGUGGAUCAACUCCAGAGAGGAAAACAUAAUUUUUGGAGAAAUUGAUCUCAAGACCAGACAUUGAGCAAAAGUGAUCAAGAGCACAUUUGAGAACUGAAACAGAAGAGAUGUCUCCAUGGCAAAACAGCAUUAAAUCAUCAGCAUAAGAAAGAAGGGUGAUUUUUAGGGCACCACAUCUCCAGUGGUACUUGAAGAUAUGUACCUUCUCAACAAAAUUCUUGAUAAUUAGAGACAAUGCAUCCAUUACUAUAACAAAGAGAAAUGGUGAGAGCCUCUAUUGCCUCUGAAAAAGCCUUGGAAUUCACCAUUAAGAGCAAUGGUGAAGGAUGGUGAUGAGAUACUUGCAUUGAUGAGAGAGAUGAAUUUGUCUGGAAAUUUGAGAAGUUUGAGGCAGUUUAGGAUGAAGUCCCAUUUAACUGAAUCAAAUUCCUUCCUCAAAUCAAUCUUGAUAGCACAUCUAGCUGGUGUAGAGUCCUUGUGAUACCCCCUCAAAUGCUCAUGAGCCAAAAAAAUUGGAUCAGUAAUCUUUCUACCAUGAAUGUUGAAGUUUUAAUUGAGAGAUGUAUAGAUUCAAUGUAAGGCUGCUUUUGUGAGUUUGAAUUAGGCAAAAAUUGUGCUAUUGGAAACGUAUGGAAUUUACAGUUUGAGUUUCUUAAGGGAGAGAUUUUAUUGAAUAUUAAGAGAUUGUUUAGUUUCA